CCUACGGGAGGCAGCAGUGAGGAAUAUUGGUCAAUGGGCGCGAGCCUGAACCAGCCAAGUAGCGUGAAGGAUGACUGCCCUACGGGUUGUAAACUUCUUUUAUAAAGGAAUAAAGCGAGGUACGUGUGCUUUUUUGUAUGUACUUUAUGAAUAAGGAUCGGCUAAAUCCGUGCCAUCAGCCGCGGUAAUACGGAGGAUCCGAGCGUUAUCCGGAUUUAUGGGGUUAAAAGGGGGCGUAGGCGGUCGGGAAAGUCUGCGGUAAAAGCCCGGGGCUCAACCCCGGUGAGCAGGGGAAACUGGCGGACUAGAGACGGCGGAAAGUACGCGGAAUGCGCGGUGUAGCGGUGAAAUGCAUAGAUAUCGCGCAGAACUCCGAUUGCGAAGGCAGCGUACCGGCGCCGGACUGACGCUGAGGCACGAAAGCGUGGGUAUCGAACAGGAUUAGAUACCCGAGUAGUC
rnacentral:rRNA from 1 species